GUGCCAGCCGCCGCGGUAAUACGUAGGUGGCAAGCGUUGUCCGGAUUUAUUGGGCGUAAAGAGCGCGCAGGCGGUCCGUUUAGUCCGAGGUGAAAUCUCCCGGCUCAACUGGGAGGGGUCUUCGGAUACUGGCGGACUUGAGGAGUGCAGAGGUGAGUGGAAUUCUCGGUGUAGUGGUGAAAUGCGUAGAUAUCGAGAGGAACACCAGUGGCGAAGGCGGCUCACUGGGCACCACCUGACGCUGAGGCGCGAAAGCGUGGGGAGCGAACCGGAUUAGAUACCCUCGUAGUCC
rnacentral:rRNA from 1 species